rnacentral:rRNA from 1 species
AACGAACGCUGGCGGCAGGCUUAACACAUGCAAGUCGAACGCAUCGCAAGAUGAGUGGCAGACGGGUGAGUAACGCGUGGGAACAUACCCUUUUCUACGGAAUAGCUCUGGGAAACUGGAAUUAAUACCGUAUACGCCCUACGGGAGAAAGAUUUAUCGGGGAAGGAUUGGCCCGCGUUGGAUUAGCUAGUUGGUGGGGUAAAGGCCUACCAAGGGGAUGAUCCAUAGCUGGUCUGAGAGGAUGAUCAGCCACAUUGGGACUGAGACACGGCCCAAACUCCUACGGGAGGCAGCAGUGGGGAAUAUUGGACAAUGGGCGCAAGCCUGAUCCAGCCAUGCCGCGUGAGUGAUGAAGGCCUUAGGGUUGUAAAGCUCUUUCACCGAUGAAGAUAAUGACGGUAGUCGGAGAAGAAGCCCCGGCUAACUUUGUGCCAGCAGCCGCCGCCGUAA